AUUGAACGCUGGCGGCAGGCCUAACACAUGCAAGUCGAGCGGAUGAAGGGAGCUUGCUCCUGGAUUCAGCGGCGGACGGGUGAGUAAUGCCUAGGAAUCUGCCUGGUAGUGGGGGAUAACGUCCGGAAACGGGCGCUAAUACCGCAUACGUCCUGAGGGAGAAAGUGGGGGAUCUUCGGACCUCACGCUAUCAGAUGAGCCUAGGUCGGAUUAGCUAGUUGGUGGGGUAAAGGCCUACCAAGGCGACGAUCCGUAACUGGUCUGAGAGGAUGAUCAGUCACACUGGAACUGAGACACGGUCCAGACUCCUACGGGAGGCAGCAGUGGGGAAUAUUGGACGAUGGGCGAAAGCCUGAUCCAGCCAAGCCGCGUGUGUGAAGAAGGUCUUCGGAUUGUAAAGCACUUUAAGUUGGGAGGAAGGGCAGUAAGUUAAUACCUUGCUGUUUUGACGUUACCAACAGAAUAAGCACCGGCUAACUUCGUG
rnacentral:rRNA from 1 species